rnacentral:rRNA from 1 species
AGUGAACGCUGGCGGUAGGCCUAACACAUGCAAGUCGAACGGCAGCACAGUAAGAGCUUGCCCUUACGGGUGGCGAGUGGCGGACGGGUGAGGAAUGCAUCGGAAUCUACUUUUUCGUGGGGGAUAACGUAGGGAAACUUACGCUAAUACCGCAUACGACCUACGGGUGAAAGCAGGGGAUCUUCGGACCUUGCGCGAUUGAAUGAGCCGAUGUCGGAUUAGCUAGUUGGCGGGGUAAAGGCCCACCAAGGCGACGAUCCGUAGCUGGUCUGAGAGGAUGAUCAGCCACACUGGAACUGAGACACGGUCCAGACUCCUACGGGAGGCAGCAGUGGGGAAUAUUGGACAAAGGGCGCAAGCCUGAUCCAGCCAUACCGCGUGGGUGAAGAAGGCCUUCGGGUUGUAAAGCCCUUUUGUUGGGAAAGAAAAGCAGCAGGUUAAUACCCCGCUGUUCUGACGGUACCCAAAGAAUAAGCACCGGCUAACUUCGUG